rnacentral:lncRNA from 1 species
GCUGCUCACCUGCGCUGCCGCGCCACCUUGCUGGAUGUGUCUUGAUUUGCAUUUUCCUGAGAGCUAGUGAUACUGGACAUCUCUUCAUGAGCGUAUCGGCCACUUGUUCAUCUCUGGGGAAAGACAAUGCUGGAGAAAAUCCACUUGGCAGGAGCCCUUUGUGAGCAGGAUUCUAGGAGCUGUGUUCCCACUCCCCCAGCCAGCUGGCAACCAUGCCAUAGGGGAGGAAGAGGGGUAGAAGCAAGCAAGCAGGAAGCUGGGCCGCAGUCCUUGGAUGGAACUCCACUACUGCCACAUCACACUCUGCUUAGGUGUGCACUGUUGGAAUGUGCUCUUUUCUGAACACGUCUGGGCCCUCACUGGGAGUGAGGCCAUACUACCUGACACGGGCCAUGGAUGGAUUCUGGUAGCUUCUUCUCCCCCAAGUCUGGCAUUCCAUCCUUCUCCCGCGGAGGCUCUUGUUGUUCAGGUCUUUUCCAUCCUCACAAAGACUUUUCAGAUAGGAUGGAGUUCCAAAUCUGGUCUCCAUUUAUCUAUUUAGUUACUUUGUUUGUUUUGUUUUUCAAGACAGGGUUUUGCUUUAUGUUUUUGUUUUUGUGUAGCCUUAGCUGUCCUGGAAAUAGCUCUGUAGACCAGGCUGGCCUCGAACUCGUGGAGAUCCACCUGCCUCUGCCUCCCACGUGCUGGGAUUAAAAGCUUAC